rnacentral:rRNA from 1 species
UACGUAGGGGGCGAGCGUUGUCCGGAGUUACUGGGCGUAAAGGGCAUGCAGGCGGUCGGACGCGUUUUGUGUGACAGCGGAUGGCUUACCUAUCCGAGCAUACGAAAGACGGUUGGACUUGAGGACUCGAGAGGGACACGGAAUUCCGGGUGGAGUGGUGAAAGUGCGUAGAGAUCCGGAGGAACACCGAAGGCGAAGGCAGUGUCCUGGCGAGUGACUGACGCUGAGGUGCGAAAGCCAGGGGAGCGAACGGG